GGAAUAUUGGUCAAUGGGCGAGAGCCUGAACCAGCCAUCCCGCGUGCAGGAUGACGGCCCUACGGGUUGUAAACUGCUUUUAUGUACCAAGAAUAGGCACUACGUGUAGUGUUAUGACGGUAGUACAUGAAUAAGCAUCGGCUAACUCCGUGCCAGCAGCCGCGGUAAUACGGAGGAUGCAAGCGUUAUCCGGAUUCAUUGGGUUUAAAGGGUGCGUAGGCGGUCUUAUAAGUCAGUGGUGAAAUACUGCAGCUCAACUGUAGAACUGCCAUUGAAACUGUGAGACUUGAGUGCGCCUGAGGUAGGCGGAAUGAGUAGUGUAGCGGUGAAAUGCUUAGAUAUUACUCAGAACACCGAUUGCGAAGGCAGCUUACUAAAGCGUAACUGACGCUGAUGCACGAAAGCGUGGGGAGCGAACAGGAUUAGAAACCCGGGUAGUCC
rnacentral:rRNA from 1 species